GACGAACGCUGGCGGCGUGCUUAACACAUGCAAGUCGAACGAUGAAAGAGGAGCUUUCUCCUCUGGUUUAGUGGCGAACGGGUGAGUAACACGUGAGCAAUCUGCCCCUGACUUCGGGAUAACUACAGGAAACUGUAGCUAAUACCGGAUAUGCGCCGCACCGGCAUCGGUAUCGGUGGAAAAGAAUUUCGGUCGGGGAUGGACUCGCGGCCUAUCAGCUUGUUGGUGAGGUAGCGGCUCACCAAGGCGACGACGGGUAGCCGGCCUGAGAGGGUGACCGGCCACAUUGGGACUGAGAUACGGCCCAGACUCCUACGGGAGGCAGCAGUGGGGAAUAUUGCACAAUGGGCGGAAGCCUGAUGCAGCAACGCCGCGUGAGGGAUGACGGCCUUCGGGUUGUAAACCUCUUUUAGCAGGGAAGAAGCGAAAGUGACGGUACCGGCAGAAAAAGCGCCGGCUAACUACGUG
rnacentral:rRNA from 1 species